rnacentral:rRNA from 1 species
ACGGCUCAGUAACACGUUAUCAACUUACCCUAUAGAGGGGCAUAACCUCGGGAAACUGAGGAUAAUUCCCCAUAGUUGAAUGAGCCUGGAACGGUUCUUCAUCGAAAUGUCGUGUCGAAAUAGAGAUACGUUCGCUGUAGGAUAGGAUUGCUCCCGAUUAUGGUAGAUGGUGAGGUAAUGGCUCACCAUGCCUAUGAUCGGUAAGGGCCGUGAGAGCGGGAGCCCUGAGAUGGGUACUGAGACAAGGACCCAGGCCUUACGAGGCGCAGCAGGCGCGAAACCUUUACAAUGCGCGAAAGCGUGAUAAGGUUAUCCGGAGUGCUGAGAGCACAACUCUUAGCUGUUAUCGGGCAUAGAUAACCCGAUGAGAAAGGAGAGGGCAAGGCUGGUGCCAGCCGCCGCGGUAAAACCAGCUCUUCAAGUGGUCGGGACGAUUAUUGGGCUUAAAGUGUCCGUAGCCGGUUUGGUAAGUUCUUGGUUAAAUCUGACAGCUUAACUGUCAGCUUGCUAAGAAGACUGCCUUACUAGGGGGCGGGAAAGGUCUGAGGUACUCCAGGGGUAGCGGUGAAAUGUGAUAAUCCUUGGGGGACCACCAGUGGCGAAGGCGUCAGUCUGGAACGCGCCCGACGGUGAGGGACGAAAGCUAGGGGAGCGAACUGGAUCAGAUACCCCGGUAGUCCUAGCUGUAAACGAUGCGUGCUAGGUGUUGGUAGGGCUAUGAGCUGUAUCAGUGCCGUAGGGAAACUUGUUAAGCACGCCGCCUGGGAAGUACGCUCGCAAGGAGUGAAACUUAAAGGAAUUGGCGGGGGGAGCA